ensembl:lncRNA
CUGUGGUGCUGGCUGAUGGCAUCCACAUUACACCAGGGCCUGCGCUGCUGGCUGACGUCAUCUACAUUUCACCAGAGCCUGUGGUGCUGGCAGAUACCAUCCAUAUCACACCAGGGCCUGUGCUUCCUGUGAGGCCAUCUUCACCACACCAGGGCCUGUGCUGCUGGCUGAUGCCAUCCACAUUACACCAGGGCCUGCGCUGCUGGCUGACGUCAUCUACAUUUCACCAGAGCCUGUGCUGCUGGCUGAUACCAUCCAUAUUACACCAGAGCCAGUGCUUCCUGUGAGGCCAUCUUCACCACACCAGGGCCUGCGCUGCUGGCUGACGUCAUCUACAUUUCACCAGAGCCUGUGGUGCUGGCUGAUGCCAUCCACAUUACACCAGAGCCUGUGCUUCCUGUGAGGCCAUCUUCACCACACCAGGGCCUGUGGUGCUGGCUGAGGCCAUCUAUAUUUCACCAGGGCCUGGGCUGCUGGCUGACGUCAUCUACAUUUCACCAGAGCCUGCACUGCUGGCUGACGUCACCUACAUUUCACCA